rnacentral:rRNA from 1 species
AGUGAACGCUGGCGGUAGGCCUAACACAUGCAAGUCGAACGGCAGCACAGGAGAGCUUGCUCUCUGGGUGGCGAGUGGCGGACGGGGGAGGAAUACAUCGGAAUCUACGCUGUCGUGGGGGAUAACGGAGGGAAACUUACGCUAAUACCGCAUACGACCUACGGGUGACAGCAGAGGACCUUCGGGCCUUGCGCGAUUGAAUGAGCCGAUGUCGGAUUAGCUAGUUGGCGGGGUAAAGGCCCACCAAGGCGACGAUCCGUAGCUGGUCUGAGAGGAUGAUCAGCCACACUGGAACUGAGACACGGUCCAGACUCCUACGGGAGGCAGCAGUGGGGAAUAUUGGACAAUGGGCGCAAGCCUGAUCCAGCCAUACCGCGUGGGUGAAGAAGGCCUUCGGGUUGUAAAGCCCUUUUGUUGGGAAAGAAAUCCAGCUGGCUAAUACCCGGUUGGGAUGACGGUACCCAAAGAAUAAGCACCGGCUAACUUCGUGCCAGCCGCCGCGGUAA